AUGAUUCUUCAGUUCAACUUUGUUCUCGGGCCCCCGAAUGUUGAGUUUAUGCUGGAGACCGCAAAUUUGAUGGGUCCAAAGUUAUGAUCAAGGGUAUAAUGUUACUUAGUGGAUGGGAACUUGGAAUCUGGGCACAAUGUUAUAUUGUAUUUACUAGAUUUCUGAUACCUAGUUUGAAUUCCUCUAUUGAACAAGAAAUUAAACGGAAAUUUUGACAUGAAGGGAUAAAGAGUAAAGUAUUUACCUUUUUCUGUGCCUUUCUGUUGGACCUCUGUUGUGAUUUCAGAGGCAUUAAUCUUAGAAGGUGUGAUGCCCUUACAUUCAUCCUGAUUGCCCUUUGCUUUGUACAUAAGUAAUCAUGUCGGGACCUCAUGAGAAAAAAUGGUGAUAGAAAUUGCUUGUGAGUUUGCCCAGGAUUUUAGAACUUGUGAUGGCCUUUUUUAAAGAUGAGGUUUUCAUUAAAAAAAGAAGAACAAAGAAACCAAAAGAGAAAACACUGCUGGUUUCUUUUAAAAAAAGAUAUUUUCUUUGGAAAUGUUGUAUGAGAAAAGAGAAGGUUGUCUCUGGGCUGAUGAAUAGAUUUGCUAAAGAACGAGAGAGAAGUCAGAAAUUCAUUAAAAGAUAUUAAGACUCCAGAAAGAUGUCUUCUCAAGAGCAGCAGUGCAAGCAGCAGUGCAAGAUACCUCCAGUGUGCCCAACAAAGUGCCCUGAUCCUUGCUCACCUAAAAAGGGUACAGACCCUUGCCAACCUGUAAAGUGCCCUGAGAAAUGCACUCCUGUGCCACCUCCCGAGCAAUGCCAGCAGAAGUGCCCACCCAAGAACAAGUAACAGCUUCAGGUUUUAUCUGCCUCUGGAAAGGAUAAGGACAAUCAGCUCAUCUAGUUCCACAGCUCCAUCUUCAUCUUCUCUUCAAAGCCUAUCAUGGAUACAGGAGAAGCUUUCCACUCUUCAGCCUGCAGUGUGCGUGUGGGGAUUCCUGACGGUCAGAGGUUUCCUAUCUGAGUCUGCUAUGCUGCUUCCCUCUGGGAGGUAUCCGAAAAAGCAUCCCAGAGCCUCAGAGGGAAGAGCAGUAUCUCUCCUCCUGAGCGCCCUCUGAGGAUUCUCUCAGUGUCUUCUGUGUGUGUCUGUCAUCUAGGCAACGGUUUCUGCCAGAUGAGCAAUUGUUACUUAUCCUCCAUUUCCUGAAUAAAAUACAAUUUUUUUUGUG